rnacentral:rRNA from 1 species
UACGUAGGGUGCAAGCGUUAAUCGGAAUUACUGGGCGUAAAGCGUGCGCAGGCGGUUGUGCAAGACCGAUGUGAAAUCCCCGGGCUUAACCUGGGAAUGGCAUUGGUGACUGCACGGCUAGAGUGUGUCAGAGGGGGGUAGAAUUCCACGUGUAGCAGUGAAAUGCGUAGGGAUGUGGAGGAAUACCGAUGGCGAAGGCAGCCCCCUGGGAUAACACUGACGCUCAUGCACGAAAGCGUGGGGAGCAAACAGG